rnacentral:rRNA from 1 species
UGGGGAAGUAUUGGACAAUGGGGGCGAACCCUGAUCCAGCAAUGCCGCGUGUGUGAAGAAGGUUUUCGGAUUGUAAAGCACUUUCGACGGGGACGGAUGAUGACGGUACCCGUAGAAGAAGCCCCGGCUAACUUCGUGCCAG